UUUUUUUAGUUUAUUUAAAAAAUAUAACCUGCCCACUGAAUUUUUGAAGGGCCGCGGUAUUUUGACCGUGCAAAGGUAGCAUAAUCAUUAGUCUCUUAAUUAGAGGAUGGAAUGAAUGGUUGAACCUUGACAGAUUUUAUUAGUUUUAUAAAAUUUGAAUUUUGACGUUAAGUGAAAAUACUUGAAUGGGCCUAUAAGACGAUAAGACCCUAUAGAUCUUUAAUAAAUUUUAUUACGAUUAAUGUGGGGGCAUUAUUUGUAUUAGGUUUUAUUUUAGCUGGGGCAGUUAAAGAAUAAUAAAAACUUCUUUUUAACUUAGUGUUUAAUAAAUAUUUAAUCUUUUAUUAUAAAGGUAGAAUAAGUUACCUUAGGGAUAACAGCGUAAUGAGUCUAGAGAGCCCAUAUCGAUAGAUUGGAUUGCGACCUCGAUGUUGAAUUAAGAUUUCUAAUUAGGGCAGCUUUUAAUUAAGAUGGUUUGUUCAACCAUUAAAUUCUUACA
rnacentral:rRNA from 1 species